AUGGUUGUGAAGCUAAUAAAUGGCGGAUGGGAGGUGAUCUACUUUGUUGGCGAGCAUAACCAUCCGUUGCUUGACAAGCCAUGUUUGACUAAGUAUUUGCGAUCACACCAAGGGAUCCCAGCAGAAGAAAGGACCUUCCUUACUCAUCUUCAUAACUGCAAUUUGACUACAGCAGAAGAAUUGGGGGAUGCAGCAUUUAGAAGGGGUGUCACGCCUCGAACUCACACUCUUAUUUGGGAGCACGAGCGAUAUGUGCAGGUUGGGGGUGGGGGCGAUUGGCACUCUCUUUUUUUCCGGGUGGAUUGGCACUUUUAUGGGAGGGAUGGAAUUCAGCUAGCACCUCCUCCUCCAUGA
rnacentral:rRNA from 1 species